AGCAGUGAAUGUAUCCCUUGGAAACUUGCUGACGUAUCCAUUUGUGAGAGAAGGCUUGGUGAAGAAAACUCUUGCACUAAAGGGUGGCUACUAUGAUUUCAUUACGGGAAGUUUUGAGCUCUGGGGGCUUGAGUUCGGCCUUUCUCCCCCUCUCUCUGUAAAAGAUGUGGCCACCAUACUACAUUGGAAGCUCUAGUCCAUUGCAUAGAGGUCAUUCCCGCUAAGAUGAGGACAAUCUCUUCACUUUUCUUUCUUGAAAUAAUAUAUGAAGUGGGUUGUGUAGAUUGAUUAACACCCUUAUAUCAAGAACUGGAAUUUCUCAGGCCAUUUUUUCUUCCUUCUUCAGUAUGCAACUUAGUACAAACUAAUGAUUUAUCACAUGUUAAUCCUUAACUAAUCUUUUAAUUAACUAUCAUAGUCAUAAUUUAUCAAGAGACUGAUAAUACUAGAGAAAUGUAGAGCCACCAUUAGUACCUUUCUUAUCUUUAUGCAUGUGUCCUAUUUUGUUCCUUUUGCAUUUAAGAGCAGAAAAUUCACUUCACAUUUUCAUAUUGCCCAAACAAUCUUGAAAACAUUCAGGACAAAGCCUUUGAUAAGAUGCCUUCAACCAUUUAUAACAAUUAUCAUCCCACUUACAUGGUCAUAAAUUUCACAUGAUUUCACAAACUGAAUUCUUUGGUAAUGAAGAUUAUAGAAUAAUGUCAAGCAAGAUUAAAAGGAUACCCACCCGAACUCAUUCCCAAUUGCAGUGAGCUCUGGAGAAUCAUCAUAAAACCAGAAAGAACUUGCAUAACUAUCCUUGAAGGCCAGUUCAUGUGCAUCUGAGACUUGAAUGGCUUUCUGAAACCCAAUGUCAACUGUAAUUUUGAUCAGUGAUUGUUGUGCCUUCACUAAAUCCUGAAGUUGUAGCAGCCUUGGAGAUUGCUGAGCUAGAAACAGCAACCCUGCUACUUUGAUGUUUGAUGCUAAGCCUGCCAUUUUCAUCUUUACCAGCUAGAUUUUUGGUCAGAUGGGUAUUCCAAUAAUUCUUUGCUUGAUUGUCAGUUCUUCCAGGCACCCUCUUGGCAAUCAAUGACCACCUAAAACGGAAAAAAAAAGAAUCAAGAAGAGUAGAAAAGAGAAUGAACCCUUGAAUGAAUGGCAGAGUCUAAAUAGAAAGUUAUUAAUUCAAUACAAAGGUUUCAUAAUUCCAUUUUGGAGGGAAUAAAUUGCUGAUUCCUCCAAGAUCAUAUUGCUCACAAAAGAGUGGUAGAUGUGCAGCAAUAGAAGAAAAACCUGUUUCCAAGGAAAUUAUGGAGUCUAAUGAUAAGAUCUUCUUCUUCCUCAGUAAAAUUGCCUCGCUUCACUUCUGGGCUUAGAUAAUUCAGCCACCUUAACCUACAGCUCUUCCCACAUCUCCUCAAGCCUAUUUGUUCAGCCAUUCUGCAAGUUAAACAACACAAGGACGAAAAAGAAAGAGUGAAGAAAAGAAACAAUGAAUAGAUCUUGAUCAGUACCCGUCUUCUUAGCAAUGUGAUAUUGUCGUCCUUCCCCAUGGACCUAUAUAUAAUCCAUGAGAAUCUUGUCUUCUUCCUCUGUCCAUAACCCUUUCUUGUAUUGAUUCCCUGGUUGCAUUGUGUUCUAAUGUUCUUUGAUUUUAUUCACUUUUGCAGCUUGAGGCUGUUGGAGACUAAAGAAAGUAUCAGAUAUGCUAGAAGAUAGGAGAGUGAUGAAAUGUUUCAAUUUCACACGCGAUGCAAAGGCCUUAUAAGGUCUUAAAUGGCCUGAAAAAUAAUGUAUCCUUUGCCUACCCUUAGGAUAAAUUUGAUAUUGGCGCACAUCUUCAUACUGUCAUCUUCAUACCCAGCUAGAUCAAGA
rnacentral:misc_RNA from 1 species